UUGACCUCGGAUCAGGUAGGACUACCCGCUGAACUUAAGCAUAUCAAUAAGCGGAGGAAAAGAAACCAACAGGGAUUGCCCCAGUAACGGCGAGUGAAGCGGCAACAGCUCAGAUUUGGAAUCUGGCCCCUAGGGCCCGAGUUGUAAUCUGGAGAGGAUGUUUCUGGCGCGGCGCCUUCCGAGUUCCCUGGAACGGGACGCCGGAGAGGGUGAGAGCCCCGUACGGUUGGACGCCUAGCCUUUGUGAAACUCCUUCGACGAGUCGAGUAGUUUGGGAAUGCUGCUCAAAAUGGGAGGUAAAUUUCUUCUAAAGCUAAAUACCGGCCAGAGACCGAUAGCGCACAAGUAGAGUGAUCGAAAGAUGAAAAGCACUUUGAAAAGAGGGUCAAACAGUACGUGAAAUUGUUGAAAGGGAAGCGCCCGUGGCCAGACUUGUACCCCGCGGACCAUCCGGCGCCCUCAGCGCCGGUGCACUCCGUGGGGCGCAGGCCAGCAUCGGUUUUCCUAGGGGGAUAAAGGCGGCGGGAACGUAGCUCCCUCGGGAGUGUUAUAGCCCGCCGUGCCAUGCCCCUGGGGGGACCGAGGACCGCG
rnacentral:rRNA from 2 species